rnacentral:lncRNA from 1 species
AGUGACAUAUUUUUGUUUUGUUGUUUACAGUUAGGCGUACCGUACAUUACGGGGGUAAAGGUGGAUAUUAUUGAGCACACCAACUCUGUCGCUCUCCCACAUGCGGGACCGGAUAACACGGACAUUAACAACACAGACACGGCGCGAGAAACAUGAGAAUGGACUUGAAUUAUGUGGACACAUGAUUUUCACGUGCAGUCUUUACGUGGAUUACAGGAACUAUCGUCAAACAUGGGCUUUAUUAAUAAAUUAUUUUUUAUACAGAAA